rnacentral:rRNA from 1 species
GACGAACGCUGGCGGCGUGCUUAACACAUGCAAGUCGAACGAAGUGGCGAACGGGUGAGUAACGCGUAAUCAACCUGCCCUUCAGAGGGGGACAACAGUUGGAAACGACUGCUAAUCCCGCAUACUGCCGUAGGGGAUUGCGUGUGAUUAGCUAGUUGGCGGGGUAAAGGCCCACCAAGGGGAUGAUCAGUAGCCGGUCUGAGAGGAUGAACGGCCACAUUGGUACUGAGACACGGCCCAGACUCCUACGGGAGGCAGCAGUGGGGAAGCUUCCGCAAUGGACGAAAGUCUGACGGAGCAACGCCGCGUGAGUGAUGACGGCCUUCGGGUUGUAAAGCUCUGUUGUUAGAGAAGCGGUAUCUAACAAGAAAGCCACGGCUAACUACGUGCCAGCAGCCGCGGUAAUAC